rnacentral:rRNA from 1 species
GUGAGGAAUAUUGGUCAAUGGGCGAGAGCCUGAACCAGCCAUCCCGCGUGAAGGAAGAAGGCGCUAUGCGUUGUAAACUUCUUUUUCAGGGGGAUAAAAUAUUGUAUGAAUACGAUACUGAAGGUACCCUGAGAAUAAGCAUCGGCUAACUCCGUGCCAGCAGCCGCGGUAAUACGGAGGAUGCGAGCGUUAUCCGGAUUUAUUGGGUUUAAAGGGUGCGUAGGCGGAAUAAUAAGUCAGUGGUGAAACCCUGCAGCUUAACUGUAGACUUGCCAUUGAUACUGUUUUUCUUGAGUAUGGUCAAGGCAGGCGGAAUGUGUAAUGUAGCGGUGAAAUGCUUAGAUAUUACACAGAACACCGAUAGCGAAGGCAGCUUGCUGGGCCGUUACUGACGCUGAUGCACGAAAGCGUGGGGAUCGAACAGGAUUAGAAACCCCAGUAGUCC